GUAUCAUUUUUAAUAACUUAUAUAAACUAGACAAAACGAAUGAUAAUCAAAAUAUAAUUAAUGAUAUUUAUGAUUUUUAUAUUCUUAACAAAUAUGUAAACUAUUCAUUAAAACAACUAAUCAUUUUGUUACACUCCUUAAACAAAUAUAAUUAUGAAAAAAAUAAAAUUAUUGAUUUUUUGAACUACUUAUCGUCUUAUAUUUUAAAUAUAUAUGGAAAUGGAUUCAACAAAAAAACUAAUACACCAAGGUCUUACCCAAGUGUUAACACUAAUGAGUGUUUACCGCCAUAUGAAAAACAACAUUUUACAUCAAAUAGUAAUAAUAAAAAACAAAGCUCUUCUCCUAUAGCCAUUUCAAAAAAGGGAAAUAAAACAGUUGAAACGAAUUUUGGUUUGUCAAAACGGGUUCCUUUUAGUUUUAAUGACAAACAGUUAGAACAGCGUGAUUUUUAUAAUGAAAGAAAAAAAGAAAAAAAGAAAAAAAAUGUUAUUAAUAAUGAUAAAUUUAAAGAAGCUUCUUUUUUUUUACACAGUAAAGAAGAAAAUUAUAAUAGUUACGGUACUAGUAACAAUGAGCUCACAUAUGUUUGUGGUACUAAGGAUGUCAGAAAUGGAAAUUAUACCAGCGAUGAUUAUAAUAAUCCAUUAGCACAAUAUUUCGAUAAAAAAGAUAAAUACGAACUAAUCCUUUUGUAUACACUAAGCUGUUACAAUUAUUGUAACAACCAAAUUAUUUACAUAUUAGUCCAACAAAUAAAAGAAAAAAUUUUUAGUGUUUACACUGAAAAAGAAAUAUGUAUGUUCAUAAAUAGUCUAUGUAAUUUUAUCUUUUUAAAAAAAACAAAACACUUUCAAAGGCAUAGUACAGACGAAUCGAAUUACAUUAGUGAAUCGAAUCAAGUAGUUAUGUAUAUUUUGUUAGACAAAAUUGUUGACCGUCUCGCUAUGACUACUGUUGCUACUGCUGUUACCACCCCCACCCGAACAACCGCUACUAAUUACUCCUAUUUUAGUUUAACAUCAAUAUACAUAUUCCUAUCAAAGUUAGAUUAUUUUUAUAAAAAUAAAAAUAUAGAAAAAAUCUUUAUGAACAAAUUAGUUCACACAUUGUCUG
rnacentral:lncRNA from 1 species